rnacentral:rRNA from 1 species
GUAGGUGACCUGCGGAAGGAUCAUUGUCGAGACCGAAACACAAUGAGCGAUUUUGUGAACCUGUAAAAAUAAGCGGUGCCUGUAGUGCUGCGAUAAAAUCCACUCGAGUCAUCGCCUCAUCCCCUCUUUGGGGUGGGGACGUGAUGAAGGAUGGAUGAACCCUCAAAUCGGCGCAGCGUAGCGCCAAGGGAAUCUUGAAACACAAGCCCAUAAAUGGGUUUUGUGGGAUGGGGUGCUGUCGCACGCCAUAUUGAUUGACACGACUCUCGGCAAUGGAUAUCUCGGCUCUCGCAUCGAUGAAGAGCGCAGCGAAAUGCGAUAUGUGGUGCGAAUUGCAGAAUCCCGCGAACCAUCGAGUCUUUGAACGCAAGUUGCGCCUGAGGCCAACCGGCUGAGGGCACGUCCGCCUGGGCGUCAAGCAUUUUAUCGCUCCGUGCCUAGUCUCCCAUCCAUGGAUGUGUUGCCAAGGCUCGGAUGUGCACGGUGGCUCGUCGUGCCCCUUGGUGCGGCGGGCUGAAGGGCGGGUCAUCUUCUCGUUGGCUGCCAACAAUAAGGGGUGGAUUAAAUAAGGCCUAUGCUAUUGUGUCAAGCGCGCCUGAGAGAUGGUCAUACUUAUUAGGUGAUCCCAAUUCAUGCGUCGAUCCAUGGAUGGCGUA